UGAUACAUGUACUCUAUUAAACUAUUUAUGCAAACUUUAAAAUACAUAACUACAAUAUUAAGUCUUGUUUAUGGAUCUAUAGUUAUAAAUGUGAUUUUAGAAAUUAAAAAAGGACUAAAAUCAUGUAACAGAGCACAUCCCUUAGCACGCAGCCAUUGCUGGGCACCAUUACUCAGCACCCUGUUACCAGGCAACGGGUCCUCCUCAGCCAUUGGUCAGCCCCUCGGUGGGCCCCGUCCACAAGCAACCAACUGUCAAUGAGGCGCCAUUAGAGAGGUGACUCAGUCAACAGUUGGUGGUGCUGUGGUCCUCAGGUGGAGAAUGAGCCAGGACCGCGACCUAGGAGGGCGACAGCUGUGCUUGGGACCUGGCUCUUUCUUGUCAGGGCAGAGAAGAACAUUUGUUUGGUAGAGGUUUACAGAAACAUCGUCACCUGACCAUGAACUGGCCUCAAAAACAAGGAUCUGAAGUCUGCAGCAACUGACAAGGUCCCUCCCUCACCUUUCCUAGAAAAGGGCUUUACUGAAAGCCUUCAGUAACUUUGGGGUUCUUAGUGCCUGAGCCACCCAUCUCCUUGUGUGGCCCUGUAACAAACCUUUCUCUGUUUCAGACUCCAAUGUUUUAGUAUUGAUUGGCCUCACUGUGCCUUGAGCACAUGGAUUUGCACUUUCGGUAACAAUCAAGCAAAGCACACUUGUAAUUGCUUUGGGUGGGAGGUGGGAAAGCGGGGACAGGAGGAAUGAGCCUAGAGGUAAUGGUUAAAGGUGGCUUUUACUUUGCUUUAUCCUAACGAUUCCUUUUUUUGAAAGAAUGUAAAGAGAAAAUCCUGGAAGCAAAUGUGACAAAAUUAUAAAGGCUGUUUAUUCUA